GUGGGGAAUAUUGGACAAUGGGCGAAAGCCUGAUCCAGCCAUGCCGCGUGUGUGAAGAAGGUCUUCGGAUUGUAAAGCACUUUAAGUUGGGAGGAAGGGCAGUAAGUUAAUACCUUGCUGUUUUGACGUUACCGACAGAAUAAGCACCGGCUAACUUCGUGUCAGCAGCCGCGGUAAUACGAAGGGUGCAAGCGUUAAUCGGAAUUACUGGGCGUAAAGCGCGCGUAGGUGGUUUUGUAAGUUGGAGGUGAAAUCCCCGGGCGCAACCUGGGAACUGCCUCCAAAACUGCAUGACUAGAGUACGGUAGAGGGUAGUGGAAUUUCCUGUGUAGCGGUGAAAUGCGUAGAUAUAGGAAGGAACACCAGUGGCGAAGGCGACUACCUGGACUGAUACUGACACUGAGGUGCGAAAGCGUGGGGAGCAAACAGGAUUAGAAACCCCUGUAGUCC
rnacentral:rRNA from 1 species